rnacentral:lncRNA from 1 species
UUUUUUUUUUUUCGCUUAAAGAAACUACUUUUACAACCCACAUUUACAAAAUGUGAGCUUUCCAGAGAUUAAAAGCUUUUUCCAGCCAAGCAGAAAUAGGAUGGAGGUAAAACAUUUUCCUGAUGCACUCUAGACUCACCAGAGUUCAACAGUAAGAAAGCCUGUUCAGCAGUAACACUCUCCUGAGAGAAUGUUCAAAAGAUAAAAUUAUUACCCCAAUGUGAAAUGAAAGCCAGGGAGGCCUCUGCUUAUUAUAGCUCCAAAACCAUUUCAGUGCAAGUGCAUUUUAGAAGCUUCAUAUAUGUGAAUUAUUUGUCAAAUUGCUACUGUUACACAUGCCAUAAAGUGUAUUUUGGGUGCUCAUCACAAGCAUCUUGCAGCUAAAAUACAGUUUGGAUAUACAGAAUCUGAGUCUGAGAAAUAGCUAUUAUCUUUCUUAAGGGGUUAAGAAGUCAUAUCCAUAUCCUAGCCGAUAAUACAACAUAAAUGGCAUUUCUUUUUUUUUAAUUUUUUUAAUAAUUUUUUUUUAUUUUCCCACUGUACAGCAAGGGGGUCAGGUUAUCCUUACAUGUAUACAUUACAAUUACAUUUUUUCCCCCACCCUUUCUUCUGUUAUGUGUCCUGGGAUUAGGCAAAAGAUGAGAGAGGAACAGCCCCACAGAAAUAGAAAACAAUCAGUGCUGUGAGGAGGUCAAGAAAUUAGUUCUACAGUUAUGCAAAGAGAAGUCGUGUAUACAGCUGACAGCUCCCAAGUUAAGAAGUUAAAAGACGUGCAUGUGUCUCUUGUUUCAACUCCAUCCAUUAGGUUGUUUUCUCCUGUGCUUCAGAGACCUUAGUAGCAAAGGAAGGCAGUGAAUAUGCUCCCAGACUCAUCUUGCAAUCUUACUGUUUGAGUGCCUGAGAGGUAUCACGGUAAAGAGAAGGGCUCAGACUCCACAGUCCUCCAUUCACACCUCAACCUGCAGUGUGAACGAAGGUCACUCAUUUAGUUACAGAGAAAGCCAAUUAUUUUUUUCUCAUUUGUAAGGUGAAACUUCUUAUAAUACAUAGUUCACAAAAUUGAUAUGAAAAUCAAAUAAUAUCUUGUACAGGAAAAGUGAUUUUGCAAACAGUAGAUUUCUAUUGUAAGUGUUAGAUUGCUGGCUUGCAAUUACAUAAGACAUACUACAAAGAAGCUCUAUUUAGAUGUCCUGGAUCUAAAUUACUAGGAAAAUAAUUAUAAAGUAAGACAUUUAAUUCCAAUAUUGCCAAAAUAGUGAAAGAAUCUGCAAUAAUUUUAAAAUAAUAGUUUAGGGUGAAAAAUACACAAUUUGGUGGUCUAUACAUAUUUAUCCAUCUGAAAUGAAACAAAUUUGAAAAUUGAAAAAAAAAAAAAAAGGAAAAAAAGUAGGAAGUUUCUUACUUGCUAAGAGCCAGGUAUUGGAGAGUUUUGCUUAUCCCACAGAACUUCUUUUUGAGCCAGGUGAAGGAUAGUUACUCCCUCCAUUUUCUCAGCUCAAACAUCCCUGUUCCACAUCCUACACACACACAUACUGGAGUAGCAGCUAUUACUGAAGGUAUUUAGGAGAAUAAGAGAGAGAAGUGCAGAAGGGAUCAGCUGUGGUCAGAUGGAUGGACACUCUCCAGUCUGGCUCAAUGUGCCUGAAUGUGGAAUGGACAAACAUGACCCGACCCCAUGCACAGGAAGUGAGGGAGUGGCGGGGACUCCAAAAACAAGUUAAAGUGCUGCUUCUAGAAGAAUAACGGAUAAAAUAGAAAAGCAUUAUAACCACUGGUUUUCUAUUGUACAAAAUAAGCCCAUGAUUUCACUAUAGCAUAGACUUUUCAUGAUCUGAUCUCUGUCUUUUCUAGUGUCAUUUUUGUCAUUUUACAUUGCAUAUUACAUUCUGGCAAUAUCCAAAUGCUUGUAUUUCUUUAUUAACUCGGUGCUGUUUCUGUACUCCAUGAUUUGCCUUAAAAUAAAAACAACUUCCCUUUCAUAUGUAUGCUGCACCUAGAUGUUGCCUUUACAUUACCAAGCCUCAUUUCAAGUGACAAGUCUUAAAAUGAUCUUUCUUAACUGUGAGGCUUGAUUUCAUGGCUGCUUCCUGUGUUCUCACAAAAAUUUUAUGUGGGGACUUGUAUUACAUUUAUCACAUUAAAAAAAGUUUUAUAUUUCUGCUCCCCAACUGCAACAGGUACACAAGUUUCUUAGGGCAGAAACAGUGCCUGUCAGUUGCUCUCCUAUACAAGCUGUUCUGGCAUUUCAGUUAGUAAUGCAGGUUCUAAGAUUCCACACAGGGCACAGCACAGGGAACUAGAGUCAAUCUCCCUGGAUAGAAGAUGAUGGAAGAUAAUAUGAGAAAAAGAAUGUAUAUAUAUGUAUGACUGGGUCACUGCUGUAUAGCAGAAAUUGGCACAACUUUAUAAGUCAACUCUAAUAACUUAAAAAAAAAUUAAAUCCAAGAGUCUUAGCAUAGGGGCAGGUGAAAGCCAGGCAUGGACAGGCUGAAAGAGUGGAGCAUCAAGGGUACAGCAAGUGGAUCACGUCAGAGUAUUGGAAGUAGAAUCUCGAACUCUUUCUCCUUGCUAGGAUUUGAGCCUCAGGAAAUCUGAACACGAGCAGCUCUUGGUUCAGGACCAGCGGGUAGGAGGAGCUGUUAAAGACAGAUAAAGAGGGAAGUUCCCUUGUGGCGCAGAGGGCUGAGGAUCUGGCUGUGGUGCAGGUCAUAACCAUGAUGCUGGUUCAGUCCCUGGUUGGGGAAAUUUCAUAUGCUCUGGGUGUG